rnacentral:sRNA from 1 species
CGGUUUCAAUCUGCUGCGGGCAUAUAAAAUGGAUAUGCGAAUCGAUGCCGCCAGCCGUUACGAUCUUACCUUCACCUGCGAUCACUUCCGUGCUUGCGCCAGCGAUCAUCCCUGGCGUUACCCCGUCCAUGAUGUCCGGGUUGCCGGCUUUGCCGAUACCGACGAUUAUGCCGUCUUUUAUGCCAAUAUCUGCUUUCACAAUGCCCCAAUGAUCGAUGAUGACUGCAUUCGUAAUGAGCGUAUCCAGCACGCCCUCGUCCCGCAGGGCGCCGCUCGACUGGCCCAUGCCAUCGCGG